rnacentral:rRNA from 1 species
CCUACGGGUGGCAGCAGUGGGGAAUUUUGGACAAUGGGCGAAAGCCUGAUCCAGCCAUGCCGCGUGUGUGAAGAAGGCCUUCGGGUUGUAAAGCACUUUCAGCGGGGAAGAAAGCCUUCUGGCUAAUACCCUCGAUGGAGGACAUUACCCACAGAAUAAGCACCGGCUAACUCCGUGCCAGCAGCCGCGGUAAUACGGAGGGUGCGAGCGUUAAUCGGAAUUACUGGGCGUAAAGCGCGCGUAGGCGGUCUGAUAAGCCGGUUGUGAAAGCCCCGGGCUCAACCUGGGAACGGCAUCCGGAACUGUCAGGCUAGAGUGUAGGAGAGGGAGGUAGAAUUCCCGGUGUAGCGGUGAAAUGCGUAGAGAUCGGGAGGAAUACCAGUGGCGAAGGCAGCCCUCUGGAAUGACACUGACGCUCAUGUGCGAAAGCGUGGGUAGCAAACAGGAUUAGAUACCCUAGUAGUC